UAGAUAGCAAAUAAGCGUUCGGAAAGC
rnacentral:sRNA from 1 species